rfam:Astyanax mexicanus chromosome 23, whole genome shotgun sequence.
GGCUUCAUAGCUCAGUGGUCAGAGCGAUGGUCUACGGAACCAUAGGUCGUGAGUUCGAAUCUCGCUGAAGCCU